rnacentral:lncRNA from 1 species
AUUUUUGUGUGCUAUUGCCCACGCCUUCCGAGUGGGCCGGGCCGCCGGACUCGGAUCGCCUAAAAAUAUUUCGGGCCAUCAAUUAGGACCUAAGGAACCAUAGUCACCACCUCGCCAUGAUCGUUCCUCAUUUUUACAUUUUUUGGCCAAAAACUAGAAUUCCGCCCGAUUCCCAUAUUUUUGUGUGCUAUCGCCCACGCCUUCCAAGUGGGUCGGGCCCCCCGGAGCCGGAUCGCUAAAAAAAUUUCGGACAAUCAAAUACGACCUAAGGAACCAUAGUUACCGCCCCGCCAUGAUCGUUCCUAGUCUUUUGUCAUUUUUCAGCCAAAAAAUUAGAAUUCCGCGCGAUUUCCAUAUUUUCGUGUGCUUUAGCCCACGCCUUCCAAGGGGUCCCGGGAACCCCGAACCCCUAUCGCCUAAAAGUUUUCUGGACAAUCAAAUAUGACCUAAGGAACCAUAGUCACCGCCCAGCGAUGAUCAUUCUUCAUUUGUUGCGUUUUUCGGCCAAAGAACUAGAAUGCCGACCGAUUACAAUAUUUUUGUUUUCUAUUGCCCACCCUUCCAAGUGGUUCCGGGACCCCCGGACCCCGAUCGCCUAAAAUCUUUUCGGGCCGUCAAAUACGACCUAAGGAACCAUAGUAACCGCCUCGCCAUCAUCGUUUCUCAUUUUUUG